UAGGUACCCUGUCAGGUGUCAUUGUGGUUCC
rnacentral:piRNA from 1 species